rnacentral:rRNA from 1 species
ACGGGAGGCAGCAGUGGGGAAUAUUGCACAAUGGGCGAAAGCCUGAUGCAGCGACGCCGCGUGGGGGAUGACGGUCUUCGGAUUGUAAACCCCUUUCAGUAGGGACGAAGCGCAAGUGACGGUACCUGCAGAAGAAGCACCGGCCAACUACGUGCCAGCAGCCGCGGUAAUACGUAGGGUGCGAGCGUUGUCCGGAAUUACUGGGCGUAAAGAGCUCGUAGGCGGUUUGUCGCGUCGUCCGUGAAAACUCGGAGCUUAACUCCGAGCUUGCGGGCGAUACGGGCAGACUUGAGUACUACAGGGGAGACUGGAAUUCCUGGUGUAGCGGUGAAAUGCGCAGAUAUCAGGAGGAACACCGGUGGCGAAGGCGGGUCUCUGGGUAGUAACUGACGCUGAGGAGCGAAAGCAUGGGGAGCGAACAGGAUUAGAUACCCUGGUA